GGCAAGCUAAAUAGUAUGAAAAAAUAAAAUAAAAUAUAGCUAAUAAAUGAACCACCAAGCCCCUCAAACCACUGGAUGUGAUGCUCUUGAAACUCCCAAUGUUAAAAUGCAUUGAAGCAGUAUACAUGUCAAACCCUCUUUACCCUAUAUAAAGAAAGCACAAAAAACUCACACAGCAGUUUCUAUGAUCAAAAAACCUUUGCCCAUCCAUAAUUCCUCAGAAUAAUCCUCCAAGAGCUGGAGGGAUUUCACCAGUAAAUUAAUAAUGUCUCCUUUGUGUGUGCAGAAGUUGAAAAUCCUAUAAUGUCACUUUCUCGGAUGAGAUUUAGUUUCAGUGCACAGUAGUUUGUAUUUCAUGCUAUUUCUCCUUGCACAUGGAUAUAUUGCUACAAUGGGCUCUAAAUUUCAAGGCUAUCUUUGGUAACAGUUGAUAAAUAUUUAAUCACUUCUCUUGAGUAAUUAAGUGAUUGUGGCAGAAAUGAUAAGCUAACAUAUUCAUCAUCCAAAAGGCUCAUCUCAAAGGAAGUUUCAUGGCAAUUGAUAAUAACCAGCAGAGAUCUUUCUCCUUGCCACCAACUGAAGCACACAUCACAGAGUUGCACUGUUGCAUGUUGCUGCUUAUGCCUCGGAUUUCAAGGAAUGCCUCACACAUACCAAAUCAUCCAAUUUAUUGCCAUCCAUUUUGUAGAGAGAAACACUUUCCAUCUGGGCAUGGUGGUCACGUGCCUCCUUUCUUAGACUUUCAAAUGGCCUGACCUCCCAUUUAUUGUAAUUUGAGUGUUUCCUGACAUCACUCAUGUCUGAAGAUCCUGAGGUGGGCCCACUGCUGUCAGGGUCCACAUUGCCCCACACCUUACAACUUCCGAACUGUCCAGGCCCAUGACCCCUCUUUAAGCGCAAGGCAGCAGCAUGAGCUCUGCUUAUCAUUUCUCGACUGGGGACAUCUGACCAGUCAUGUUUCCUUUGGGCUCUCAUGGGAGAAUGAAUCCUAAUGACACCAAGGCACUCUAGGAGCUGAUAAUAUGCACGUCCUUGAAGCGGAUUGUGCCCUUUCCUGGGAGUAGAGAAGUACCGUGUCCAUUCAGUAUAGCCAGGAUCAACUGUGAAUCCAUAUAUGUCAACAAUGUCACACAUUGAAAGUGCUAGUUCAAUAGAUUUCAUUCCAGUUCCCUUGGCACCCCUGCGUAGCACAAUUCCUUGGAAAAGAUAAACAGGAUUGGGAAUACUCUUUAUCAUAGCAUUAAAGUCUCUGUGGGUCACACUUUUGAUUAUAAGUACUUCAUCGGCUGCAGCGGAAAAAUCUGAUUAGUAUUGCCUUUUGAACUCGUAGAAUAAAAACAAAACACCCACGCAUCUUUGUUAAGUAGGCAACACAAAAUCAGAGAACAACCACAUAGGUGAAAAGAUAAGUGGCAACCAGAAGAGAUUGGUUCAUUUGUAGUAUAUUGUUUUACUAUCACACUUUAGACAAACUAAAGCCAGAAGUUAACCAAUCUCCUACUUUUGUCCAAAACACCCCCCUCUCCCUGGGCCCCUUGUUCCAAAUGAAAAGAAAAGAAAGCAAGAAAAAGGUUCAAGUCUGUGUUCUUAAAAAUACUGUGCUGACAUGGAUCCCUUGACUUCAUAAGUCUGACCUAGAUUCUUUCAUUCUAAAACUGCAUUUGCUAAAUUAAAAACAAAGGUUUUCACUUGAGAUUUAGUAGAAGUAUAACCACGCCAAUGGACAGAGCUCACAUUUGAUUGCCUUCAACAUAGAAGCUAUCAGGCAUUUAAUAUCCCAUAAUGUACUGGAAAUAAAAUAAUAAACAACAAUAGACAGGAAGACUACAGUAGCUACUGAUGCAGCAUUGAGCCAAAACUCAAUGAACUCAUCAAAAAAUUUUUUUUCCAGUUUCCAAAAUGUGGAAAGAAACAUAAUUAAACUAGGCCUGGCAGAUAUUUGAUAUAAAAAAAAAUGGUACUAACAGUUGCAGUUUCAAGAGACGUACUAGAUCCAUUGAGAAUCUUAACCAUGUUACGAGCAGCACCACGAACUACAAGGCGGAAAUCCCUUUUUAGCCCAACAUAUUUGGAAUAUUUCUAAACAAUAAAAUGAAAAGCCAAGAUAAGCAUUCACAGAAAAUUACUUGACUACACCUACCAAAAGAAUACAGUUGACAACAAAACAUCUAAAAGAAGAAAACGAUGAAAUGACUCCACUAAAUUAUGAUUGCAAUUCAAAUAUCUAAUGAAAGGUAAAGGAAAAUAAACUUUGACUGCCCUCAUCACCCAAAUAAUACUAAGUGGAAAACAUUAGGGUAAAAGGAGUAUUUAUUGGGGGCAGGGGAUGGGGUGUUGUGGAGAGAAAGAGAAAGAAAAAGCAACAAUUCAUAUUCAGGUUUGAAUGUUUUGGCUCUAGUCUUGCCAGUUUACCUCGUUAACUGGAGCUUCAUUGUCUCGUAUAACAGCCUCGUGACCAUCAAUCUCUUCUCCAAACUCAGUCUUUAGGAGAUCUCCUGAGUUACCAACAACAGCACAAGUGCGAAAUUGCCGGGGAUGGAAAGGGGGUUUAGCAGGUAGAAUCAAAUUAAGAUGUUCCUCACAGAGAGUCCUGUUGUAGCAUUUAUCAGAUCCCAAUUGAGCUAUCCUUUUUGCUGCAUACUCUAACCACCCAUCUGGCCGGGCAUCAAGGUAUUCUCUUGUCAGCACUGUAGUCAUGUUACGAUACUGUUCCCACAAUAGAAUUGCUUCACAAACAUCAUAGUGGUACUCCAACGGUUCAUAAAUUUUGAAUUGCUCAUUGAACUGAGAUUAAAAAGAGAACAAUCAGCAUGUAGCAGCUUUAAUUUUUUAAAGAAAAAAAAGGGUCAUUUUCAGAUAUAAUUGAAAGAGACUGAUAGAGAGGUAGACCCAGGUGCUGUUAGUGCCUUCAGGGAACUUAAGCGUCAAUUUGCAAAGGUCAACGAUCUGUGCCGUCAGACCGAGCCCUCUGUUUGCCUACAUUUGGCUCCAAGCUUUUAGCACAUAAUUGAGACACGCAUAAGAAUGCAUUAUUACAUUAUCAACAGGCACAUAUGAAUUUAGAUGCUUAAAUCUCUCAAUAUUCAAUCUAAUAGGCAAAAAUAACCUAGAUUCAAGAGAUCAGACUCAUCGAAAAGCCAUGUCAUAAACCAAAAUAUGGAUUUUCAAUCGGAAAAUUGAAAAACAAGAAACAGAGAUGCAGAUGAUCUAAGAUUUAAAAUUGGGAAGGAAUUGAAAUGUUAACCACGCAUUGCUGAACAGAUGACUGGAAAUCGGAUAAAGCACUGAUUUCUUCAUUGCUGAGAUCCGAAUUUCGA
rnacentral:misc_RNA from 1 species